UUGUCAUCAAGAUGCCUGUCAUGUACCGGAUUGGCUGCCUGCGGGACGUCCCUUCUCCUAGAUGUGGUUUUCUUCAUCUACCUCUACCAACGGUGGAUCUACCGCGUCGACCCCACCCGUGUGAACGAGUUCGGUAUGAGUGGAGAGGAUGUCUCAGCAGCGGCAUCCGGGGCCCAGGCAUCCACUGCAGCAGGGGCUCUCACACCUUCACCCAGCACAGCUGUCACCGGAGAGGAUGCCUCCACAGUCCCAACGGCUACUCCUGGGGCCUGCACGGCCAGCCAACCCCAGGAAGACCCUCCAAAACCAGCAGAGGACAAGAAAAAGGAUUAGCCACUGCAGUUCUCCUUAUCUGCUCCUGGUGACUGACCGCCAACCACCUUCCGGGCCCCUACCCUACCCUCCCUGUCGCCCUUUUCCUGGACAGAUCAGGCCGGGGCGGCAGGAGGCCCCCAGGGCCAGGGCCCAGUGUGUGAGAUGGGGCCGGGCAGGCUGGGGCUGGCUGUGUGUAUGUGGAGGCAACCGUCCGUCGUCUUGUCUGUCUGUUCCUGUGUGUUUGCAGACAUCUCGCCCUGCCAGCCCAGCACCAUCGGGAAUCAUGGUGAAGCCAAUAUGGCGCCGAGGGUGGGCCAGGCGGGGAAGGGGCCAGGGCUCCUCUGUGGGAUGCCUAUGGUCCUCCAUCAUCUUGUCCCUCAUCCCCUGACCACCCUGCUCCCAGACCACCACCCUUUAACACAGUCUGGAUUUAAUAAAUUCAUAUGGGUGUUUAA
rnacentral:lncRNA from 1 species